UACGUAGGGUGCAGGCGUUAAUCGGAAUUACUGGGCGUAAAGCGUGCGCAGGCGGUUUCUUAAGUCAGAUGUGAAAGCCCCGGGCUUAACCUGGGAACUGCGUUUGAAACUGGGAGACUUGAGUGUAGCAGAGGGGGGUGGAAUUCCACGUGUAGCAGUGAAAUGCGUAGAGAUGCGGAGGAACACCGAUGGCGAAGGCAGCCCCCUGGGCUGACACUGACGCUCAGGCACGAAAGCGUGGGGAGCAAACAGG
rnacentral:rRNA from 1 species